UACGUAGGGUGCGAGCGUUGCCCGGAUUUAUUGGGCGUAAAGAGCGUGUAGGCGGCCUGACAGGUCUGCUGUGAAAACUCGAGGCUCAACCUCGAGAUGUCGGCGGAAACCGUCUGGCUAGAGUCCGGAAGAGGAGAGUGGAAUUCCUGGUGUAGCGGUGAAAAUGCGCAGAUAUCAGGAAGAACACCUAUGGCGAAGGCAGCUCUCUGGGGACGGUACUGACGCUGAGACGCGAAAAGCGUGGGGGAGCGAACAGG
rnacentral:rRNA from 1 species